rnacentral:rRNA from 1 species
AGAGAAAGAAAUUCGAUUCCGUAAGUAGCGGCGAGCGAACGCGGAUUAGCCCAAACCAAUAAAGUUUUCUUUAUUGGGGUUGAGGACAUACCACAUAUAAGAGGUCAUUAUAGACGAAGAAGUUUGGAAAAACUCAUCAUAGAAGGUAAUAAUCCUGUAGUCAAAAUAAUAAUUCUUUAGGUAUGAUCCAGAGUACCACGGGACACGUGAAACCCUGUGGGAAGCAGGAGGGACCACCCUCCAAGGCUAAAUACUACCUAGUGACCGAUAG